CUUGCAGCCAUCUAGUGAGCGAUUAUCCAAAACUUUUUUGUCUGAAAAUUCCUUGUUCAAAAGUAAUAAUCUUCAAAUUACCAUGAGAAUCUCUCCUAUUUGUUUCUCUUUUUGCUCUUAAGGCUUAGUUUCCUGUUUGAAGCAGGGAUUUUGAACAAAAUCACGAAGAAGAGUACCAGAAAUGGGGAGAGUGAAAGUAGACGAAAUAGAGGUUUCAGAAGGUGGUUCAGCGAACACUGGAAUGGCCACGCAGAAAGAGGAUGAAGAAAGCACUGCAAUGACAUGACCUCCAUCCAAGGAUCAUUCUAUGUUCUUAUCGUCGGACAUUUGAUAAGCACCAUGGUACUGUUAAUUGAAAAGCUGUACCACAGAUAUAACAGCAUACUUAUCGGCUACUCAAGAAAAAUUGCAGCUCUCAUUCGAAAAAAACAGCCUAUCAACAAAGCAGAAAUGCUGGAACGUCACUACCGAUAUUUAAACUAAAUAUCAGCAGCUCGCUUUAUUUUUUCAAUAUCGGUAUGUAAUUCGUCACUUAUUCCCCUUUAUCAUGCAACAUGGUUGCCUUUACAAGAUCGUAUGUUAAUGUAAGAUGAAGACAAAAUGUCCCAAGUACCUAGCUAAGAUCUUAAAGGCACUAUGUAAAUUGUUCACAAAUUAUUUACGUACUAAUUCUCUUUAACUUUUUCACUUAACGAAGCUUUCAAUUAAUUAACUCUCCUCGGUUCCAAGGAAUGGUUACAUCGAGGGAGCAAGAAAACUAUCAAAGUUUGUAUUCUUGAGUCCCCGUAAAAGCUGCCAAGAAAAGUUUCUCAGGAGAGAAUGGAAACAUCUGGAAGCAAAAAAAUUCAGUUAGGAGUUAGACAGGGUUCAUUUACAGCCUGAAAUGAGUGACCUCACCCUAGAAUUAAUGUCCAAAGAAAGUCAAAAUCCAACAAAUGUACCCCUUUCAGGAACUUUCUGGAAGUUAAAAACAUAGUUUUAUAUUUUUAAAUCCUUAGGUCAAGACUAGAAUUAAGUACAGUAAGACCUCGAAUUAUCGGAUUUCACGGGACCGGGGCCGAUCCGUUAAAUCGUAGAUUCCGCUAAUCGCGCUAGUCGGUCCCGCAGAAGGGACAGGAGGAUCGAUCGUUAAAUCGCGGAAUCCGGUUGUUAAAUCGCGGAAUCCGUUAAAUCGCGGAAUCCGGUAAAUCGCGGAAUCCGUUAAAUCGCGACCUGAUAAUUCGAGGUCUUACUGAAAGUGCAUAGCCAAACUUAGUGUAAUUUCUAAUAUUCCUGUAAGGAGGUGGUUGUACAAUUAAUAAUACAAAAAAACACACAUAAAAAUCCCACUCAUAACCUUAUCCUCCGAUGAUAUCACAUCGCAUUGAUAAAGGAAAUAUUUUUGCUAUCAUGGGUGGAUUUAUUUAUUGAUUUCCUUUAAUUUUAGGAUUAACUUUGAAUAAUUGUUGAUAUCUCAAUUAACCCCUAGAUGACUAACCGUUUUUACCUACACGAAUGACUAACCUGGGCCUGCGAGGCCCCAGUAUUGAGAAUGGUUGGUUAUUUGAUGGCUACGAUGUUUUUUUUCUCUAUUUUUGGAUGAAUUUUAUGAUUUCAUACUUUGACUUC
rnacentral:lncRNA from 1 species